GGGUCAUUGGUCUAGGGGUAUGAUAUUCGCUUCGCAUCGACUCCUCAGCGAGUUGUAUGACUGUGAAAGGUCAUGGGUUCAAUUCCCAUAUGAUCCA
rnacentral:tRNA from 1 species